rnacentral:lncRNA from 10 species
UCAGAGGGCUGUUGGAGGAGUAGAUGAGGUGCUACAUGCAGGGCCCUGAGAACUGUCCUGUCGCUCAGGAAGCAAGUUUUGCAGGGUGUGGACAAUCGGGCAAGUGACUGCAUGUGACAACAGAGAGAGGGCAUGGUACACGGUGGCAGAUGAGCCCGGGACUGGAGGCAGAUCUGGGUUCCAGUUCGGGCUCUACCAGCAGCACCCAUGUGUCCUUCUGUUCUCUGGGCCUCAAUUUCCUGUUGUAAAAUUCAGAACUUGGAAGAGGUAAGUGGUUAGGUCAUUCCUGAGACAUCCCAGAUAAUCACAGCCAUCCAAACGUUGGCUCGGGAGCCCUGAGUAACCAAGACUGCAGGAAGCAACAGUUUAGUAAGGGUUCAGAAUCCUGUGAUUAGGGCUCGAGAAUGAAAUACUCUUCUAAGAGCUUCUCCCAGACCAAAAGGAGCUAAUUAGGAAAGAAUGGUGGCAUUCUCUGGGCAAACUGGAGGAGCCCCUGGGCUUGGCCUCCUUAUGCCUUCCUCCUUGACCCUCCUCUAGCCCCCUUGGACACAACACAACGUCCCCCCUCUGCUUUUUCCCCAGAUACUAUGGUAAACCUGCUCUCAGAUCUUUCUCCACACCUAGAAAAAUUCAUUCAUCGACUAUACACUUUAAUGAAUAUGCACUUACUAUGUACCAGAUAUUCUUUGGCUGCUAGGGCAGAGCAGCAGGGACAUAGCCCCUGUCCCCGUGGGGUCAACAUGCUGGUGGAGGGAGUCAGAGGUAAUAAAAUAAGCAAGUAAGACACACAGUAGAGCAGGCAGAGUUGGCGGAGAACUGGAUCUAACUGGGUUGGGGUUUUGCCAAGCAAGUACAGUCCAACUUGGAGUGUGGAGGGAAGGGUAUAGAAAAGGUAGGGACUAGAAUAACUAACCCUGGAAUUUAGGCUGGGAAAGGAGGGAGUAGGGAUUUGAAAGCGGGUGAGGUCAGUAGUCUGUGGGGCCCUGAGGGGCGAUGGCUCCAAGGCACGAGCCGGAAAGAGGUUUGACAGUGGCUUCUCUGGAGGGCUCAAGCUUGACCAGGAAACUGAGUGCCGAGCCCUGGAAGAUCACUGGGGAGAGGAGGUCAAAGAACUGGGAGGCCAGGGCACCAUCGGCGGGCUGGUAAGUGGAUGGUGAAACCACCAGGCAGGGGGCAGGAGGAGCUGGAGAGAGGACGCGAGAUGGGAGCUAAAAUCCUAAAAUCCGCAGGGAGUGCGGAAAGCAGUGACAGCAGUGAGCGCGGGGAGGCUGGUCCUGAGUCUGGGAUGGGGCGAUGGCGUUCAAGAAGACAUAUUUAAGAGUACUAUGUAAUUUUACGUGUGGGAAGAACCUUUUGUUUUUGUAAUUAGAACUACAGAAAGGGACAGAGCUGUUUAUGUCAUGAAAAGCAGGCCUGAGCAUUAGAAGACUGAGAAACACCUGGGAGGAUCUUGUUUCAACAGAGCUCAAAGCCGUGGCAAAAGGACGGAGCUCGAAUUGUGCAAUUAAACCCAGGCCCCCAGCAAAUGGAAAAUGCCAUCCACUGGCACAGAGACUUCAGUUGGGAGCCGAGGACUGAACUCAGACCACCAUUCUUUGUUCAACAUUUCUUCCUGAGGGGCCUGGAGGAAGUCACACCCACAGGCCAGAGCUCAACAUUCCUUUCUGCUGACCCCAGGCACCAGUCCAUGGCACUCCCUAUGCCUGCAGGAUACCACAUCAAAGCAGAGUUGGGGGAGCAUUUCAGGAGGUUCCUGUGAAAAACCUACAUGCACACACCCCCACGUGCAGCUGCAGACUGCUAUCUAUACACGAAGUUAUGCAUCGCAGAGUCGACUGCAAAAGGCUGGAGCCCACACAGCGUCUAUCAAUAGGGAACGGGUUAAAUCGACCACAAGAUUUCCAUAUGACGAUGGAACACUUUCCAGCCAAGAAAGGAGGAGGAAGUCCUCACUGCUCUGAUACGGAACAGUCACCAAGACAUAUUUUAAGUAAAAAAAAGGCAGCAUGCAUAACCAGGGAAAUGAAAACUAAAACCACAGUGAGUUACAAUUUCACACAGAUCCAUCUACAAAAAAAAAAAAGCUGAUAAUUGCAGGUGUUGGUGAAGAAGUGGAGUGAGGGGAAUGCUCAAACUACUAGUGGGUGUGCGAAUGGUUAUAACCACUUUUUAAAAUUUUGGCAUUAUCUACUGAAGUUGACAAUGUACUUUCCCAAUGGCCUUGCAAAUGCCCUGGAGAAGUUCUUACCCAACCCCCGCCAUUCCCCCCAACACACACCAAAAGAAACAAUUAAGAACAUUUGCACCAGCUCUGUUCCUAGAACCCCAAAACUGAGGCCAGCACUGAGGCCAAGCACAGUGGCUCAUGCCUGUAAUCCCAGCAGGCAUGAGCCACCCUUUGGGAGCCUGAGGCCGGAGGAUUAUUGAGGUUGAGAGUUCAAGACCAGCCUGGGCAACAUAGUGAGACCUUGUCUCUAUAAAAGAAGUUUUAAAAAUUAGCCAGGUGUGAUGGCUCAUGCUUGUAGUCCCAGCUAAUUGGGAGGCUGAGGUAGGAGGAUCGUUUCUUGAGCCCUGGAGGUUGAGGCUGCAGUGAGCCAUGAUUGCACCACUGCACUCCAGCCUGGGCAACAGAAUGAGACCCUGUCUCAAAAAAUAAAAUUAAAUUAGAAAACAAUAAUAAUUAUUAUUAAUAAAUAAAAUAGUCCAAUGAAAAUAAUCAUACUAUCUCCAUGCAAUGGAAUUCUAUACAAGAGUGAAAAUGAACUAACUCCGGACAUGCGUAUCAGUACACUGAACUUCAGAACUAUAAUUAUGGGUGGGACAAAAGCCAGCCAUAGAAAACUAUUCUAUUCAUAAUCCCAAAAAGGUAGUAUACCAUAUUCAAUUAUUAUAUAUAUUUAUGUCUUGUUAUAUAUAAUGUUUAUUACAUUUAUCUUAGUAUAAAAAUAUAGUAUAUUUAUCAUAAUCUAUUAUAAACAAGUAGUAGGAUUAUAAAAAGACAAAAAGGGCAGGAUAAGCGUAAAAUUCAUGAUAGUAUUUAGGGGAAGAGGAGGGUGGGGCUGGAGAGAGGCACAUGGUUUCAAAAGCCCAGCUUCUUUGUCUAAAACAGGGCGUGGGUACCCAUACUGGUCUAUUGUAUUGUGGGUGUCUUUAAAAUGUAUAUAUAUUCUAUAACUACUAUUUUUGUAUCUACUCAAUAUUUAAUUUUAAAAUUUUAAAUGAGGCCUAGAACACUAUAAAAAGUAUGCUACCAUUUGUAUAGAAAAAGUGGACACACACAUCACUCAUGUGCAUAGAUUAAAGUGUCUCUGGAAACUUACACAUGCAACUGGUGAAACUGGUUUCCUCUGGGGAGGAGAACUGGGAGGCUGGGGACAAGGAGGGGCAAUAAAUCAAUUGAAAUUAAAAAUCACAAAAUUUAAGGAGAAGGAGACAAAGAAGGGAAGGAGGAAGAGAAGGGAGGGUGGAGGGGAGAGGCCAAGUCCUGGUCCCAGGAGGGACAGGGAGCAGAAAGAGGAGGACUGGCCAGGCUCUGGCUAUCAAAACCUGUGUGUGCCACAGGCACGAGUGGAGCCAGAAGCCUGCAGUCCUGCCCAGGAAAGCCUGUGUCCUCCGCGCACAACUCAGGCUUAGACCCAGAGAAUGCUCUUUCUUGCACCUGAGGACGGGGCUGGCUUCAAACAGUUGCCCAGGUUGACCCUGGCUCUGCAGUCUUUUGUUUCCAGAGCUUUGCUUCCAAACGAGGCUCCCUUGGGUCUCUUUCCCUGGCCCUGCCUUCUUAUCUCCAACCUUCACCCCACCUGUGAUCCAAGCGAUUCCUUUGAAGUUGCUUCAGAGUCUUCUGAGCCUUCAUCCUUGAUGACUCUGAAAUGUGCGUCUGUGGCACCAAGGUCAGCCAACAGCAAGUAGGCCCUUUUCAUCUCCUUUUAAACCUUCCCCUCAAGGACUCAGUGUCCUUGCUGUAUUGCCUUAUCAAAACCUGCUCACAUAUCCUUUGUUCACACUGGGAUACCGGUCAUUUAAAGGAAAACAGGCCCACUCUAACCAGGGUCACUGCCAAGUCCCUAAGUAUCAUGCCCUUGAGAGGUAAAAGCAUAAAGCACUAAGGGUAGAAUUUUGGGCAACAGCCAGUGGACAAGGACAAAAUGGGUGCAAUAUGCAGGGGUCCCUUCUGCCCCACCGGUAACCAUAACACCUCAGGACACAGGCUGGGGUCUGUAUUCAAAAGUGGGUCCCUCAGACCGGGCACAGUGGCUCACGCCUAUAAUCCCAGCACUUUGGGAAGCCAAGGCCAGCGGAUCCCUUGAGCCCAGGAGUUUGUGACCAGCCUGAGCAACAUGGCGAAACCCCAUCUCUACAAAAAAUACCAAAAUUAGUCUAGUCGGGCAUGGUGGUGCACACACCUAUGGUCCCAGCUAUUUGGGAGGCUGAGGGGGGAGAAUCGCUUGAGCCCCAGGAGGCAGAGAUUGCAGUGAGCUGUGAUCGAGCCACUGCACUCCAGCCUGGGCAACAGAGUGAGACCCUAUCUCAAGAAAACAAAAACAGAAAGUAAAAAAGCAAUCCUCGAGCAAAAGUGGGUCCCUCAGAGCCCAAUGACAGUGAUGAGGAGGAUGAGGUGGGAAAGGUAGUGUUACUCUGAACUAAAAAGGACUGCCCAGUGUGACCCUAUCUCCCAAACAGCCCAUGCAGGGAUCUGGGUGGCACCAUAGUACAGAAGUGGGUGCCAAGAGAGGCCUGGGCUGCACAGCCAGGUGCAUACAUGCCCUGGAGUCCAGGACAGGAUCAGCAGCAAAUCCACUCCAGGGAGCUCUCCCCCCUCACCAUCCUCUCAAUCAGGGUUCCCCAGUUGAAAAGCACCUUGGCAGUUCAUAAUUCUCCCUCUAAAGCCAGAAAGUGCUGUAAAGGAUAACAGAAGCCUGGCUGCACAGUGGAGCUUAAUGGAAGUCAUUCAACAAGCAGGUCUGGAGCAAACAUCAUGGACCAGCAGUACUGUGUGUUGGCACAGAUGUGAAGCAACUAUACUCUGAUACGGCUUGGAUAUGUGUCCCCACCCAAAUCUCAUAUUGAAUUUUAAUUCCCAGUGUUAGAGGAGGGGCCGGGUGGGAGGUGACUGGAUCAUGGGGGCAGAUUUCCCCCUUACUGUUCUCACGAUAGUGAGUUCUCAGAUCUGGUUAUUUUAAAGUGUGUAGCACCUCCCACUUUGCUCCCUUCCUCCUGCUUUGGCCAUGUAAGAUGUGCCUGCUUCGCCUUCCCCUUCCGCCAUGAUUCUAUGUUUCCUGAGGCCUCCCCAGCCAUGCUUCCUAUACAGUCUGCAGAACCGUGAG